AUGAACGCUGGCGGCGUGCCUAAUACAUGCAAGUCGAGCGAACAGACGAGGAGCUUGCUCCUCUGACGUUAGCGGCGAACGGGUGAGUAACACGUGGAUAACCUACCUAUAAGACUGGGAUAACUUCGGGAAACCGGAGCUAAUACCGGAUAAUAUAUUGAACCGCAUGGUUCAAUAGUGAAAGACGGGUUUGCUGUCACUUAUAGAUGGAUCCGCGCCGCAUUAGCUAGUUGGUAAGGUAACGGCUUACCAAGGCAACGAUGCGUAGCCGACCUGAGAGGGUGAUCGGCCACACUGGAACUGAGACACGGUCCAGACUCCUACGGGAGGCAGCAGUAGGGAAUCUUCCGCAAAGGGCGAAAGCCUGACGGAGCAACGCCGCGUGAGUGAUGAAGGUCUUCGGAUCGUAAAACUCUGUUAUUAGGGAAGAACAAAUGUGUAAGUAACUAUGCACGUCUUGACGGUACCUAAUCAGAAAGCCACGGCUAACUACGUG
rnacentral:rRNA from 1 species